CAAUCAUAUAGCCCUUCUCUUCCCCAAACCGUUAUCUCUGGAACCUGUGAGAGUUUUCUGACGAAAUGUCAUCUGACUUUAAUCUAGUUAAUUGAAAACCAAGAAUCACGGGAUUUUGGGUGAUUAAAGCAUUUCAUCUGUGGAUCAUCUCUGAUACGGUUUAUGUUGUCGUUGUUGUUGCAGGAUGAAGACUUGGUUGAUCGCGUUGUUGUUGUCGCAUUUGGCAGUCGGCGUUCUGUGUUCAAAUCAAGCCCCAUUUCUGGUAUGUGAUGACGCAUCCUUCCAGACUAAAAUCCCCUUCUGUGCGUGCAGACCAGCUUUCUUCCCUCCAGAAAUUGACCUGGAAGAGUACUGCCUAUUCGUCAGGUUAUACACUACCCUGGUGGGUUUAGCAAGAGAUGCUGACUGCUGCCCCGACGUGUCUGUAUAACGUCAUGUGGAGUCCCGACCGAAGAGUAAAGAAGAUGUUUGACUGAAAUCUGAUCUCGUUAUUUAAUAAAGACCGUUUAUAUACAUUUUGUUUAUGCAUUUA